rnacentral:rRNA from 1 species
AAUGAACGCUGGCGGCAGGCCUAAAACAUGCAAGUCGAACGCUGUAGCAAUACAGAGUGGCGCACGGGUGAGUAACAUGUGGGAAUAUGCCUUUUGGUACGGAACAACUUUUGGAAACGAAAGCUAAUACCGUAUGGUCCCUUCGGGGUAAAGAUUUAUCGCCAAAAGAUUAGCCCGCACUAGAUUAGCUAGUUGGUGAGGUAACGGCUCACCAAGGCGACGAUCUAUAGCUGUUCUGAGAGGAAGAUCAGCCACACUGGGACUGAGACACGGCCCAGACUCCUACGGGAGGCAGCAGUUAGGAAUAUUGGACAAUGGGCGCAAGCCUGAUCCAGCCAUGCCGCGUGAACGAUGAAGGCCUUCGGGUUGUAAAGUUCUUUAGCCGAUGAUUAAGACAGUAGCUCAAGAAUAAGGGUCGGCUAACUACGUGCCAGCCGCCGCGGUAA